GGGAGUGAGAAUGCAGGCAUGAGUAGCGAAAGACGUGUGAGAAACACGUCCUCCGAAAGACCAAGGGUUCCAGGGUCAAGCUAAUCUGCCCUGGGUAAGUCGGGACCUAAGGCGAGGCCGACAGGCGUAGUCGAUGGACAACGGGUUGAUAUUCCCGUACCGGCGAAGAACCGCCCAAGCUAAUCCAGUAGUGCUAAGUGUCUGAAUCCCAGUGACUGAUCCCUUCGGGGUGACGCUCUGGGCCUAGCGCACGACCCCAUGCUGGUGCGGUUAGCGUAUUAACAGGUGUGACGCAGGAAGGUAGCCCAAGCCAGGCGAUGGUUGUCCUGGUGCAAGUGCGUAGGCCGAGUCGUAGGCAAAUCCGCGACUCAUACAGGCUGAGACACGAUGCGGAUAAAAAGUGGGUGAUCCUAUGCUGCCGAGAAAAGCAUCGACGCGAGGUUCUAGCCGCCCGUACCCCAAACCGACUCAGGUGGUCAGGUAGAGAAUACUAAGGCGAUCGAGAGAAUCAUGGUUAAGGAACUCGGCAAAAUGCCCCCGUAACUUCGGGAGAAGGGGGGCCGGAUCCGUGAACCCACUUGCUGGGGGAAGCGGGGAGGGCCGCAGAGACCAGGGAGAAGCGACUGUUUACUAAAAACACAGGUCCGUGCGAAGUUGUAAGACGAUGUAUACGGACUGACUCCUGCCCGGUGCUGGAACGUUAAGGGGACCGGUUAACCACUUUGGUGGUGAAGCUGAGAACUUAAGCGCCAGUAAACGGCGGUGGUAACUAUAACCAUCCUAAGGUAGCGAAAUUCCUUGUCGGGUAAGUUCCGACCUGCACGAAUGGCGUAACGACUUGGGCGCUGUCUCAACCGCGAACUCGGCGAAAUUGCAUUACGAGUAAAGAUGCUCGUUACGCGCAGCAGGACGGAAAGACCCCGGGACCUUUACUAUAGCUUGGUAUUGGUGUUCGGUGCGGUUUGUGUAGGAUAGGUGGGAGACUGUGAAGCGGCCACGCCAGUGGUUGUGGAGUCGUUGUUGAAAUACCACUCUGGUCGAAUUGGGUGUCUGAACCUCGGGCCAUGAUCUGGUUCAGGGACAGUGCCUGGUGGGUAGUUUAACUGGGGCGGUUGCCUCCUAAAGAGUAACGGAGGCGCGCGAUGGUGGGCUCAGGUUGGUCGGAAAUCAACCGUCGAGUGCAAUGGCAUAAGCCUGCCUGACUGCGAGACUGACAAGUCGAGCAGAGACGAAAGUCGGUCAUAGUGAUCCGGUGGUCCCGAGUGGAAGGGCCAUCGCUCAACGGAUAAAAGGUACGCCGGGGAUAACAGGCUGAUACUGCCCAAGAGUCCAUAUCGACGGCAUGGUUUGGCACCUCGAUGUCGGCUCGUCGCAUCCUGGGGCUGGAGU
rnacentral:rRNA from 1 species